GCUGUUCGCCCAUUAAAGCGGUACGCGAGCUGGGUUCAGAACGUCGUGAGACAGUUCGGUCCCUAUCCGUCGCGGGCGUAGGAAAUUUGAGAGGACCUGUCCUUAGUACGAGAGGACCGGGAUGGACAUACCUCUGGUGUACCAGUUGUGCCGCCAGGCGCAUCGCUGGGUAGCUACGUAUGGAUGUGAUAAACGCUGAAAGCAUCUAAGUGUGAAACACACCUCGAGAUGAGAUUUCCCAUUCCUUUAUGGAAGUAAGACCCCUGAAAGAUGAUCAGGUAGAUAGGUUAGAAGUGGCAGUGCGGUGACGCAUGAAGCGGACUAAUACUAAUCGGUCGAGGACUUAACCAAG
rnacentral:rRNA from 2 species